rnacentral:rRNA from 1 species
UGCCAGACUCCUACGGGAGGCAGCAGUGAGGAAUAUUGGUCAAUGGGCGGGAGCCUGAACCAGCCAAGUCGCGUGAGGGAAGAAGGUACUGAGUAUUGUAAACCUCUUUUGCCAGGGGACAAAGGCGGCCACGGGUGGCCGUAAGAGGGUGCCUGGAGAAAAAGCAUCGGCUAACUCCGUGCCAGCAGCCGCGGUAAUACGGAGGAUGCGAGCGUUAAUCGGAAUUACUGGGCGUAAAGCGCUCGUAGGCGGUAUGUCAAGUCAAGGGUGAAAUCCCCGCGCUCAACGUGGGAACUGCCUUUGAAACUGGCAAACUGGAGUGUGUGAGAGGAUAGUGGAAUUCCAGGUGUAGGAGUGAAAUCCGUAGAUAUCUGGAGGAACAUCAGUGGCGAAGGCGACUAUCUGGCACAUAACUGACGCUGAGGAGCGAAAGCGUGGGUAGCAAACAGGAUUAGAUACCCUAGUA